rnacentral:rRNA from 1 species
AGAGUUUGAUCCUGGCUCAGAAUGAACGUUGGCGGCGUGGAUUAGGCAUGCAAGUCGAGCGCGAACCGUAGCAAUACGGGGAGAGCGGCGAAAGGGAGAGGAAUACGUGGAUACCUACCCUCAGGUUCAGGAUAGCUAUGGGAAACUAUAGGUAAUACUGAAUAAUAUCUCCGGAUCAAAGGUGUGAUUCCACCUGAGGAGGGGUCCGCGUCCCAUUAGCUAGUUGGUGAGGUAACGGCUCACCAAGGCGAAGAUGGGUACGGGAUGUGAGAGCAUGAUCCCGCUCACUGGGACUGAGACACUGCCCAGACACCUACGGGUGGCUGCAGUCGAGAAUCUUCGGCAAUGGGGGAAACCCUGACCGAGCGACGCCGCGUGCGAGAUGAAGGCCUUCGGGUUGUAAAUCGCUGUCAGUGGGGAGGAAAUGCCAGUGGGUUAUCCCAUUGGUUUGACCUAUCCGCAGAGGAAGGACGGGCUAAGUUCGUG